UACAGAGGGUGCAAGCGUUGUUCGGAAUUAUUGGGCGUAAAGCGCGUGUAGGCGGCUUUGUACGUCGGGCGUGAAAGCCCUGGGCUCAACCCGGGAAUUGCGCUUGAGACUGGUGUGCUUGAGUACGGGAGAGGAUAGUGGAAUUCCCAGUGUAGAGGUGAAAUUCGUAGAUAUUGGGAAGAACACCGGUGGCGAAGGCGGCUAUCUGGACCGUAACUGACGCUGAGGCGCGAAAGCGUGGGGAGCAAACAGG
rnacentral:rRNA from 1 species